rnacentral:rRNA from 1 species
UUUAUUUGAAAGGGGUAUUUGAUGCGCCUCAGGAGGGACCUGCAUUUUAUUAGCUAGUAGGCGAGGCAAGGGCUCACCUAUACCACGAUUCAUAGCCAAACUGAGCACGGUGAUCCGUCACACUGGGCCUGACACCUACUCCAGACUCCUACGGGAGGAAGCAGAUAGGUAAUCUUCGGCGAUGGGCGCCACCCCCACCCAGCUGCACCACGUGAGUGAAGUAGGUUUUCCGAUCGUUUAGCUCUGAUGUAAGUCAAGAACGGGUGUGAGAGUGUAAAGUUCACUCUGUGACGAUAGCUUACCAGAUAGGGACUGCGUAACUACGUGCCAACAUACGCGGUAAUACGUUGGUCCCAAGCGUUGUCCGGAUUUAUUGGGCGUAUAGCGAGCGCAGGCGGUUUGAUAAGUCUGAAGUUAAAGGUUGUGGCUCAACCAUAGUUCGCUUUGGAAACUGUCAAACUUGAGUGCGGAAGGUAAGAGUGGAAUUCCAUGUGUAGCGGUGAAAUGCGUAGAUAUAUGUAGGAACACCGAGGGCGAACGCGGCUCUCUGCUCUGUAACUGACGCUGAGGCUCGAAGCGUGGGGAGCGAACAGGAUUAUAUACCCUGCUAGUCCACGCCGUAAACGAUGGGUGCUAGGGGGUUGGAUCCUUUCCGGGCAUCCGUGCCGCGGCUAACCCCUUUGAGCACUCCGCCCUGGGGAGUACGACCCGCAAGGAUAAAACCUCAACGGCGCUUCACGGGGGGCCCGGCAAAAAGGGGUGUGACCAAUUUGAUUUAAAUUCGAAAUCAACCUGCAAGUAACCUUUCCCGGGGUCUUGACCUUCCCG